rnacentral:rRNA from 1 species
UACGAAGGGGGCUAGCGUUGCUCGGAAUUACUGGGCGUAAAGCGCACGUAGGCGGCUUGUUAAGUCAGGGGUGAAAUCCUGGAGCUCAACUCCAGAACUGCCUUUGAUACUGGCGAGCUUGAGUUCGGGAGAGGUGAGUGGAACUGCGAGUGUAGAGGUGAAAUUCGUAGAUAUUCGCAAGAACACCAGUGGCGAAGGCGGCUCACUGGCCCGAUACUGACGCUGAGGUGCGAAAGCGUGGGGAGCAAACAG